rnacentral:rRNA from 1 species
AUUGAACGCUGGCGGCAGGCCUAACACAUGCAAGUCGAGCGGAGCGGCGGAUGGGUGAGUAAUGCCUAGGAAUCUGCCUGGUAGUGGGGGAUAACGUCCGGAAACGGGCGCUAAUACCGCAUACUAUCAGAUGAGCCUGGGUCGGAUGAGCUAGUUGGUGGGGUAAAGGCCAUCCAAGGAGACGAUCCUUAACUGGUCUGAGAGUAUGAUCAGUCACACUGGAACUGAGACACGGUCCUGACUCCUCGGGGAGGAAGCAGUGGGGAAUAUUGGCCAAUGGGCGAAAGCCUGAUCCAGCCAUGCCGCGUGUGUGAAGAAGGUCUUCUGAUUGUUAAGCACUUUUAGCUGGGAGGCGUUACCAACAGAAUAAGCACCGGCUAACUCCGUGCCAGCAGCCGCGGUAAUUC